UACGAAGGGUGCAAGCGUUAAUCGGAAUUACUGGGCGUAAAGGGUGCGUAGGCGGCCUGCUAAGUCGAACGUGAAAUCCCUGGGCUCAACCCAGGAACUGCGUCCGAUACUGGAAGGCUUGAAUCCGGGAGAGGGAUGCGGAAUUCCAGGUGUAGCGGUGAAAAUGCGUAGAUAUCUGGAGGAACACCGGUGGCGAAGGCGGCAUCCUAGACCGGCAUUGACGCUGAGGCGCGAAAGCCAGGGGAGCAAAGCGGG
rnacentral:rRNA from 1 species